GGGUUAUCAACCGCCUCUAACAGAAACUUAUGGGCAACAGCGGUUUGGGGUUAGUGAAUAGCCAAGUAGUUACUGAGGGAAACGGGUACCCAGCACUGGAUUUCAGUUUACGUUUUGGACAACCAAAUCGGCUUUUGUGGAGGUUUCUUUCCUUUCUUAGAGCCCUGAACCUUUCCUCCGAGGAGGGAAGACCGCAGUGUUUGUGACGUCACGACUGGGGGAAGCAAGCAUUCUACUCACCUAUGCCGCCCCAGACCUUGAAGUGGAAGAGGGAGGGCAGCUAGACUCGCAAUUCAGCCUGGUGCAGGCGGUCAUUUUGUCGAGGCAAACACUUUCUAAACGUGCUUAAGGUUUUCCUACACAGAAGCUCUAAUGCUGCGGGUGCCACGAUAAGCAAGAAAAAAAUAGGAAGCAGGAGCUGCGCUCUAGAAUACAGCUCUAGGGCUGCUAUGAGAGGAGACGGACCUAGGAAAGUGUUAGCAAAUCGAUAGUCCCUAAGACUUUCCCCCCUUCCUGCCUUAUUCCUCCCGGUUUAGACAAGGAUUAAAAUCUGUGCCCUUGAAGAUGGAUGAACUAAAAAUGCCCAUACCAGAUGGUCCAAGAGAAAUUAUUUCUUGAUAUCCAAGACAAGGACUGGAAAAAGAGUGGGAAAGCUUCAAAGGACUGUAAUUUUUUUUAAUUAAAAAAAAAGGCAAGGUGAAAUAAUUCAUAAUAAGGAAAUGAAUGAAAGUGAAAUGUGCAAUCUAAAAAUGUAAUCCGGAUUAUGCAUAAAAAAGUGGCAAUAUUUAAAAAA